rnacentral:tRNA from 1 species
GUUCAUUGUAGCACAAUGGAUAGUGCAUUGGACUUCUAAUCCAAAGGUCGUGGGUCCGAAUCCCACCUGGGAUG